rnacentral:rRNA from 1 species
UACGUAGGGGGCAAGCGUUGUCCGGAAUCAUUGGGCGUAAAGCGCGUGUAGGCGGCCCGGUAAGUCCGCUGUAAAAGUCCAGGGCUCAACCCUGGAAAGCCGGUGGAUACUGUCGGGCUCGAGUCCGGAAGAGGCGAGUGGAAUUCCUGGUGUAGCGGUGAAAUGCGCAGAUAUCAGGAGGAACACCAAUGGCGGAAGGGCAGCUCGCUGGGACGGUACUGACGCUGAGACGCGAAAGCGUGGGGAGCAAACAGG